CUCCAUGGAGCCCCUGGGUUUGGAGCUGGUUUUGGGACAGGAAGCUGCAGCUCAGUCUGCAGGGUUUGGGGUGGGCGGAGCCUGCAGUUGUAGUCCCCGCCCCCCGAGCUUGUUGAUUGACGCGCACCAGUGGCUCCUCCUUGGAGUCUUUUUUCCCUCCCCCUUCGUUUUCCAGUGUAGUGCGUUGAUUUCAUACCAAAGUCAUACUUAACAUUCCACUUAUACUGUCAAACCUCUGAGAAAUAUUACGGAAAACAACAAGGCGCCAAAUUAUAAGAAACUAACUAAAGUGACCAGCUGCCCUCACUGAGAACAAGAAGCUGACUGCCAGAAUUUUUAAAAAAAGUUCAUACCUGGAUCAUCCAACACUUCCAGCCUCGUUCCUCCAGAGGGAUUCAACAGUUUUACCUACAAGCACUCAGAGAGAGACACAAACAAAAACGAUUUGGAGGAAUACACAACUUCAGUCUGGUUUGGAGCUCUGCAGCCCAAAGGUCUCCUACAGAUCCUUUGAUUUUGGGGCUCGGGGUCGGGCCCAGGGGGAGCCGCCACCAUUGCGUCCAACGAGUGGAGCGCCAACGGUAGCCCAGAAGAUGGGCUGGACGGG